rnacentral:rRNA from 1 species
ACGAUGGGGAGCGAAAUUAAGUAGCGAAGUAGCUGAUUUCACACUGUCGAGAAAAGUUUCUAUCGAGAUUAAAGGUGCCCGUACCGCAAACCGACACAGGUGGGUGAGGAGAGUAUCCUAAGGCCAGCGAGAGAACUGUUGUUAAGGAACUCGGCAAAAUGACCCCGUAACUUAGGGAGAAGGGGUGCCACGUUAGGGUUAACGCCCGAGGUGGCCGCAGAGAAUAGGCCCAAGCGACUGUUUACCAAAAACACAGGUUUCUGCUAAGUCGCAAGACGAUGUAUAGGAGCUGACGCCUGCCCGGUGCUGGAAGGUUAAGGGGAUCUGUUAGGAUUUAUCCGAAGCAGUGAACUUAAGCCCCAGUAAACGGCGGCCGUAACUAUAACGGUCCUAAGGUAGCGAAAUUCCUUGUCGGGUAAGUUCCGACCCGCACGAAAGGCGUAACGAUUUGGGCACUGUCUCAACAACAGACUCGGUGAAAUUGUAAUCCCGGUGAAGAUGCCGGGUACCUGCGACAGGACGGAAAGACCCCAUGGAGCUUUACUGUAGCUUGACAUUGAAUUUUGGUGCUACAUGUACAGGAUAGGUGGGAGGCUAUGAAAUCAGGACGCCAGUCUUGGUGGAGCCAUCCUUGGGAUACCACCCUUGUAGUACUGAGAUUCUAACCAGAUACCUUGAAUCAGGUAUUGGGACACUGUCAGGUGGGCAGUUUGACUGGGGCGGUCGCCUCCCAAAGAGUAACGGAGGCGCUCAAAGGUUCUCUCAGCACGGUCGGAAAUCGUGCGUAGAGUGUAAAGGCAGAAGAGAGCUUGAUUGCAAGACAUACAGGUCGAGCAAGGACGAAAGUCGGACUUAGUGAUCCGGUGGUUCCGCAUGGAAGGGCCAUCGCUCAACGGAUAAAAGCUACCCUGGGGAUAACAGGCUUAUCUCCCCCAAGAGUCCACAUCGACGGGGAGGUUUGGCACCUCGAUGUCGGCUCAUCACAUCCUGGGGCUGUAGUAGGUCCCAAGGGUUGGGCUGUUCGCCCAUUAAAGUGGUACGCGAGCUGGGUUCAGAACGUCGUGAGACAGUUCGGUCCCUAUCCGUCGCAGGCGUAGGAAAUUUGAGGAGACCUGUCCUUAGUACGAGAGGACCGGGAUGGACGUACCUCUGGUGUACCAGUUGUUCUGCCAAGGGCAUGGCUGGGUAGCUAUGUACGGAAUGGAUAAGCGCUGAAAGCAUCUAAGCGCGAAGCCAACUUCAAGAUAAGAUUUCCCACCGUAAGGGUAAGAUCCCAGGAAGACUACCUGGUUGAUAGGUCGGAGGUGUAAGU